GACGUAGGGCGCGAGCGUUGUCCGGAUUUAUUGGGCGUAAAGAGCUCGUAGGCGGUUUGUCGCGUUGUUCGUGAAAACUCACAGCUCAACUGUGGGCGUGCGGGCGAUACGGGCAGACUUGAGUACUGCAGGGGAGACUGGAAUUCCUGGUGUAGCGGUGGAAUGCGCAGAUAUCAGGAGGAACACCGGUGGCGAAGGCGGGUCUCUGGGCAGUAACUGACGCUGAGGAGCGAAAGCGUGGGGAGCGAACAGG
rnacentral:rRNA from 1 species